AAACACUUAACAAAGGAAUUUAUCAGGGGUGGAAAAAGGGACAGGCCAAGUGGGCCUAGAAACAUUGUCAGGGUAUGCAGGGAUGCAACGAGGAAGGCCAAAGCCCACUUAGAAUUGAGUCUGGCAGAGGACAUGAAGGAC